ACGGGGGGUGCAAGCGUUGUUCGGAUUUAUUGGGCGUAAAGCGCGUGUAGGCGGUUUUAUAAGUCUGAUGUGAAAGCCCUGGGCUCAACCCGGGAAGUGCAUUGGAUACUGUAAGACUUGAAUACGGGAGAGGGCAGUGGAAUUCCUAGUGUAGGAGUGAAAUCCGUAGAUAUUAGGAGGAACACCGGUGGCGAAGGCGGCUGCCUGGACCGAUAUUGACGCUGAGACGCGAAAGCGUGGGUAGCAAACAGGAUUAGAUACCCUGGUAGUCCACGCUGUAAACGAUGAGAACUAGGUGUUGCGGGUAUUGACCCCUGCAGUGCCGUAGCUAACGCAUUAAGUUCUCCGCCUGGGAAGUACGGUCGCAAGACUA
rnacentral:rRNA from 1 species